CGCUGGCGGCGUGCUUAACACAUGCAAGUCGAACGGAAAGGCCCUGCUUUUGUGGGGUGCUCGAGUGGCGAACGGGUGAGUAACACGUGAGUAACCUGCCCUUGACUUUGGGAUAACUUCAGGAAACUGGGGCUAAUACCGGAUAGGAGCUCCUGCUGCAUGGUGGGGGUUGGAAAGUUUCGGCGGUUGGGGAUGGACUCGCGGCUUAUCAGCUUGUUGGUGGGGUAGCGGCUUACCAAGGCUUUGACGGGUAGCCGGCCUGAGAGGGUGACCGGCCACAUUGGGACUGAGAUACGGCCCAGACUCCUACGGGAGGCAGCAGUGGGGAAUAUUGCACAAUGGGCGGAAGCCUGAUGCAGCAACGCCGCGUGCGGGAUGACGGCCUUCGGGUUGUAAACCGCUUUCGCCUGUGACGAAGCGUGAGUGACGGUAAUGGGUAAAGAAGCACCGGCUAACUACGUGCCAGCAGCCGCGGUGAUACGUAGGGUGCGAGCGUUGUCCGGAUUUAUUGGGCGUAAAGGGCUCGUAGGUGGUUGAUCGCGUCGGAAGUGUAAUCUUGGGGCUUAACCCUGAGCGUGCUUUCGAUACGGGUUGACUUGAGGAAGGUAGGGGAGAAUGGAAUUCCUGGUGGAGCGGUGGAAUGCGCAGAUAUCAGGAGGAACACCAGUGGCGAAGGCGGUUCUCUGGGCCUUUCCUGACGCUGAGGAGCGAAAGCGUGGGGAGCGAACAGGCUUAGAUACCCUGGUAGUCCACGCUGUAAACGGUGGGUACUAGGUGUGGGGUCCAUUCCACGGGUUCCGUGCCGUAGCUAACGCUUUAAGUACCCCGCCUGGGGAGUACGGCCGCAAGGCUAAAACUCAAAGGAAUUGACGGGGCCCCGCACAAGCGGCGGAGCAUGCGGAUUAAUUCGAUGCAACGCGUAGAACCUUACCUGGGUUUGACAUGGAUCGGGAGUGCUCAGAGAUGGGUGUGCCUCUUUUGGGGUCGGUUCACAGGUGGUGCAUGGCUGUCGUCAGCUCGUGUCGUGAGAUGUUGGGUUAAGUCCCGCAACGAGCGCAACCCUUGUUCACUGUUGCCAGCACGUUAUGGUGGGGACUCAGUGGAGACCGCCGGGGUCAACUCGGAGGAAGGUGGGGAUGACGUCAAGUCAUCAUGCCCCUUAUGUCCAGGGCUUCACGCAUGCUACAAUGGCUGGUACAGAGAGUGGCGAGCCUGUGAGGGUGAGCGAAUCUCGGAAAGCCGGUCUCAGUUCGGAUUGGGGUCUGCAACUCGACCUCAUGAAGUCGGAGUCGCUAGUAAUCGCAGAUCAGCAACGCUGCGGUGAAUACGUUCCCGGGGCUUGUACACACCGCCCGUCAAGUCAUGAAAGUUGGUAACACCCGAAGCCGGUGGCCUAACCGUUGUGGGGGAGCCGUCGAAGGUGGGACUGGAGA
rnacentral:rRNA from 1 species